rnacentral:rRNA from 1 species
AACGAACGCUGGCGGCAGGCCUAACACAUGCCAGUCGAGCGAGGACUUCGGUUCUAGCGGCGGACGGGUGAGUAACGCGUGGGAAUGUGCCCUUCUCUACGGAAUAGCCCUGGGAAGCUGGGAGUAAUACCGUAUACGCCCUAUUGGGGAAAGAUUUAUCGGAGAAGGAUCAGCCCGCGUUGGAUUAGGUAGUUGGUGGGGUAAUGGCCUACCAAGCCGACGAUCCAUAGCUGGUUUGAGAGGAUGAUCAGCCACACUGGGACUGAGACACGGCCCAGACUCCUACGGGAGGCAGCAGUGGGGAAUCUUAGACAAUGGGGGCAACCCUGAUCUAGCCAUGCCGCGUGAGUGAUGAAGGCCUUAGGGUUGUAAAGCUCUUUCAGCUGGGAAGAUAAUGACGGUACCAGCAGAAGAAGCCCCGGCUAACUCCGUG